rnacentral:rRNA from 1 species
GAAUCUUGCGCAAUGGGCGAAAGCCUGACGCAGCGACGCCGCGUGGGGGAAGAAGGCCUUCGGGUUGUAAACCUCUUUCAGCAGGGACGAAGCCACUCGGGUGAACAGCCCAGAGGGUGACGGUACCUGCAGAAGAAGCCCCGGCUAACUACGUGCCAGCAGCCGCGGUAAUACGUAGGGGGCAAGCGUUGUCCGGAUUUAUUGGGCGUAAAGAGCGUGUAGGCGGCCAGACAGGUCCGUUGUGAAAACUAGAGGCUCAACCUCUAGACGUCGAUGGAAACCGUCUGGCUAGAGUCCGGAAGAGGAGAGUGGAAUUCCUGGUGUAGCGGUGAAAUGCGCAGAUAUCAGGAAGAACACCCGUGGCUAAGGCGGCUCUCUAGUACGGUACUGACGCUGAGACGCGAAAGCGUGGGGAGCGAACAGGA